rnacentral:rRNA from 1 species
GUGAAAUUGUUGAAAGGGAAACGAUUGAAGUCAGUCAUGCUAAUAGGGAAUCAACUUGAUGUUUCGUUCCCCUGGGAGCGAUCUUUCUUGUGCACUUCCUUAUUUGGCAGGUUAGCAUCAAUUUCGGUUGUCAUAAAAAAAUUAAGGGAAUGUGACUUCUUUCGGGAAGUGUUAUAGACCUUGAUAUAUGUGAUAACUGGGAUUGAGGAUUGCAGCGGAUGCUUUUGGGCUAGUCACCUACCUUCUGACGGUUACUCUGCUUUCGAUAGCUUGCUAACGAUUGUGGGAUUCAACAGUCUAGAUGUUAGAGUGAUCUUAUAUUCGCUAAGGAUGCUGACGUAAUGGCUUUAAACGAC